AUGGCAGAGAAGAUCUCCACGCUAAUCCUCAAGGUUGAUCUUGGGUGCUGCCCGUGUUACAAAAAGAUCCGCAAGAUCCUUUGCAAACUCCAAGACAAGGAGAGGAUCAGGACCAUCUCGUACGACGAUGGGAACCAUACGAUCGCGGUGGCCGGGCCGUUCGACCCGCACAAGCUCUCCUGCAAAAUCAGGUGCAAGGGAGGCAAGGUGAUCAAGGGCGUCGACAUCCUGCAACACAACGGCGGUGGCGAGUCGCCGGCAAUGAACAACGGUAAGAACAAUCACAAGGGGAAGAUAAAGGAGCCGCCGCGAUCAUCGCCAGUUCAUGAGCCACCCACGCCGCCACCCGUGGCCGAGAAGCCACCGUCGCCCGUGCAGCCGGCUCCCCCGGACAGCCACGUAUCACCGGUGAUGGAGGCGACGAUCGAGCAGAAGAAGCCGGGGGAGAACCCUGUCGAGCUAGAGCUGCCGUUGGGUUCUUCGUUCCCGGCGCCGGCGGAGCCAGUAGUGGAGAAGGCGAGGCCCGUUUCGCCGGUCGACGUGAAGCCACCGACGGUGGAGAUCCCUUCGUGGCCGGCACCACCGCAACCAAUGGCAAUGGGACACUGCGGCUGCUCCUGCUGCAAGCCGUGCUACCAGGGGUACUACGAGGGGUGCAGGUGCUGCAGCUGCGGCAGGGUGUACGGCUACGCCGUCAGCGUCGUGCCGACGCCGGCGGUGGCGGGGUGCUACGCAGGCGCAGGCGGGGGGUACAGUUACAGGUCGGCCUGCCAACUCUUCAGCGAGGAGGAUCCCACCAGUGCUUGCACCGUCAUGUGA
rnacentral:rRNA from 1 species